UGGUAAACUUUUUAUUUGCAAAUGACAGUGAGUCUUACAGUAACAAAUGAGAGAGAGAAAGGAGGAGGGAGGGAAAUUGAGAGAGAGAAGUUAAGAGAGAGAGACAGAGAAAAUAUCUAUUAGCUCCUAAUUCAGUAGAGUUAAAAUCCAGGAACAGAACAGCUUCAGGCAUAGCUGGAUCCAGGGGCCAAUAAGGUGCCUUAUCUUUGUGUCUCUUGAACAGGUUCUUUUCCUGAGGUAGGCAUGUUUAGCCAUUGGUAGGUCAAGGGCUACCUUUUAUUUGCAGCAACCCACUAGAGAAAAGAUGACCUUUCCAAUACUCCUGGCUCGAAGAACCCCAGCUAAAGUCCGGCUUGCCCAGCGAGUCUCGCAUUCCUCUCUGUGCCCGACGCUGUGGCCGUGAGGAUGGUGUGGUCUAAUUGAUCAGGCAGGCCUGGGUGGCCUGUCCUCAAACAGUGUAUAACUCAAAUAGGGUGCCUCUUUAUAAUUUUGUUUCCUCAUUUCUAAGAAGAGUGAGAAGAAUAUCCUUCUGGCUUAUUUCUUACGCUGUCAUGUAGGCAAUUAUUUGAUGACUCCUUUCCAUAAUGUGCUUGAUUGCCUGGGACAGCUGUGUGCUGCAUUCUAAUGGAAGACGGAUGCAGGUGCCUGCUGUGUUAACAAGAUGUUGGCUGGUCAGAGGCUCAGACGGGUUGUCCCUCCAUGGGGUUCCUGGAGGAAGGACUCUGGUUGAUUUAUGUAGGACUUUCUGCUUUCUGGACCCCUUUAGUUUCUACUAUUGUACCCAGAGGGUUUCCCAGGUGGCACUAGUGGUAAAGAAUCCGCCUGCCAAUGCAGGAGACACAAGGGACUCGGGUUCGAUCCCUGCAUCAGGAAGAUCCCCUGGAGGAGGGCAUGACAGCCCACUCCAGUAUUCUUGCCUGGGAAAUCCCAGAGACAGAGGAGGUUGGUGGGCUACAGUCCAUGGGGUUGCAGAGUUGGAUGUGACUGUGUGACUCAGCACAGUAUUGUACCCAGAACCGCAAGGAGAAAACCAGGUUGAAAUGAAAAGCUUAGGAUUUAUUCUAGAAAAAUCCCAACACCUCAAAGGCUCAUGCAUUCAAAUGGAAUGUGGACAAUAAUUUGCAUUAUUUGACCUGUAUUCAGCAUCAUGCUAUGCUGAUGAAUGCUUUGUCCUGUAUGAAAGGCUUCUUUUUUCCUUUUCAGAAACCAGGGGUGGAUCACCAGGGUCCCCUCCCUCAGCAGGAAAGCCCCAGAGAACUGGAAUGAGUCAUCAGUUCCUUGGGGCGAUGCUAGGGGCUCAGUGAUUCGGUGUUAAUUGAAAUUCCCCUUUUUGUGAGAUUUUCCUUGAAGACAUUGAAACAAGUGAUUGAGGUAUGGAAAUGAAUCACAUGAUAACCCCUGAAAGCCUUGCAAUGUCCCAAACAGGUUUUCUCACUUGGAGAGGCCCACAUGCUGUCUGUGGUGGAGAAGCUGAGGUGUCACCUGAGCCACCGGGCCAAGGUCCCAUGUUCCCUGGAGUCCACCUGGAGCCCUGAGUCCUCCUCAGGCACGCUGGCACACUUCAGGGAUUAUUUUCCCUGAUAGAUUAUUACAAGAUAUUGAGUCGAGUUCCAUGUGAUUAUACAGUAAGUCCUUGUUUAUCUAUUUUUAAAUGGAUUUUUACUGAAGUAUAAUUUAUUUAUAAUGUUGUGUUAAUUUCAAGUGUACAACAAAGUGAUGCAUUCAUACAUAUAUACAUAUAUCUUCC
ensembl:lncRNA